GAUUAGCUAGUUGGUGAGGUAACGGCUCACCAAGGCGACGAUCCGUAGCUGGUCUGAGAGGACGGCCAGCCACACUGGGACUGAGACACGGCCCAGGCUCCUACGGGAGGCAGCAGUGGGGAAUAUUGGACAAUGGGGGAAACCCUGAUCCAGCGACGCCGCGUGUGUGAAGAAGGCCUGCGGGUUGUAAAGCACUUUCGGUGGGAACGAAAUAUGCCGGGCUAAUACCCCGGUAGGCUGACGUUACUCAAUGAAGAAGCACCGGCUAACUCUGUGCCAGCAGCCGCGGUAAUACAGAGGGUGCGAGCGUUAAUCGGAAUUACUGGGCGUAAAGCGCACGUAGGUGGCGACGUAAGUCGGGUGUGAAAGCCCCGGGCUCAACCUGGGAACUGCAUUCGAGACUGCAUUGCUGGAGUACGGAAGAGGAGGGCGGAAUUCCCGGUGUAGCGGUGAAAUGCGUAGAUAUCGGGAGGAACAUCAGUGGCGAAGGCGGCCCUCUGGUCCAGUACUGACACUCAAGUGCGAAAGCGUGGGGAGCAAACAGGAUUAGAUA
rnacentral:rRNA from 1 species